AUUGAAAAAAAGCAUUAAAAACAAAGUCUACAGCUGCUAACAUGGUUUUGUAUAACACAGUUCUAUCAACCUUCUCAUCUCAUUCCUGGUUUUUGUUCUAGCAGCUUGGAGGACGUUUUCUGAGAAUCCCUGUCAGAGAUGCCCUGGUUGUAUAGCAAGGAGUGCCUGCUGUCAACACCUCCUGCGAUCAGCUUCCUGUUUUGGUUUGAUGUUCAGUAUUGGAUUCAUAGAUGGAUUCUAUUUUGUUAUUACUACACAAACAGAUCCAAUAAAAUACAUAACUGGACUGGCUGUAAGUGCUGUAGCUCUGUUUGUGCUUGUGCCCUUUAAGGAGCGGUGUGGUCUCUCGGGAGCACGUGCAUGUAAGUGGAGUUGUGUCUGUUGUUCACCUGCUGGGGAGGAGAUAGAGUUCCUCCCAGACAAGUCAUUGCAGAGCUGCAGUCCUCUGGCACAGGGCUGCUCAGAGAGGGAGAGGGGGGAAGGCAUGACACCAUUCUGCAUGGGCACUGCUAGAGACAGAGCAGAACAAGCAGGAGCAGAGCUGCUCAGUGUGAAUUGUCACUGUGCAGUAAUUUGCCAUUGAAGCCAGGAUUGUAGCUCCUGGCAGAGCUCUUUCUGUAUCAUUUAAGAGUCAUUAUUCAGAGUCUUAACUGAAGUGCUCUGACUGACAAUUACAUCCAUAAUGUAAUCUUAGUCAAUUAGACCGAUAUCUACUGUAAAACAACUGUAGUACAAUAGACCUUUAAUGUUUAUAAAAGUCUGAUUCAUUGAUGUAGAGUUUUAUAUGAGCUGAUGAAGAUCAUUAUAACUGUGACACUAUUGUAUUGAACUGUGUGUAAGUGGAUCAUGAGCUCUGGCUGAAACAUGAAUCCCAAGCUCCAUGUAGAACGUUUGAACUAGACUGAGAUCAUUCAUGAGAAGGGCUUUGUUUGUCUCUGUGUUGUGGAGUAGUGGUGUGUGAAACAUGAAUGAAAAGUCCUAAUAGAUUUUUCCUCUUUCAGCUUUGUGUCACAGACUUGUUCUUGUGGCUUUGCUGACAGUUUUAAUCACAUUCAUGUUGUUUUGGCUGAACGAGGCUCCAGAGAGUGACAGAGGUGUGUAAGAGUGUCUGGUCUCUUGGGGCUCUGGGGGCUCUGUGGUGGCUCAGCUGUGUGGACUGAGCCCUGGGCUCU
rnacentral:lncRNA from 1 species